rnacentral:rRNA from 1 species
UACAUAUCUUGUAGAAUAAUACAUCUAAAUCACCAAAAGUUAAAUAAGAAACAAGGAUUAGAUACCCUUCUAUCCUAAACUUAAAUUAACCAAGAAGUAAAAUCAAACAAAAACUUAACUAGAAUGGCAGUAAGAAACCCAUCAGAGAAGGCUGUACUAUAACCGAUAACCCUCGUUAAUCACCCCCUAACCUAACAUUUUAUAUAUCGCCAUUGAAAUCUUACUUAAGAUAAGAUUAAAUUAAGAUUCACACUCAGUCAACAGGUCAAGAUAUAAAUCAUGGUUAGGUGAGAUAUUGCCUGCAAAUAUCAACAAUUAAUUAAACUAUCAUUAUUCAGCAGUUUAAAUUAGGAUCUGACUGUAAUUACGCCUACCUAAUAGCAUCUUGACCCACUAAAUUCCUUAU